UACAGAGGUCUCAAGCGUUGUUCGGAUUCAUUGGGCGUAAAGGGUGUGUAGGUGGCGCCGUAAGUCGGGUGUGAAAUUUCGGAGCUUAACUCCGAAACUGCAUUCGAUACUGCGGUGCUUGAGGACUGGAGAGGAGACUGGAAUUCAUGGUGUAGCAGUGAAAUGCGUAGAGAUCAUGAGGAAGACCAGUGCCGAAGGCGGGUCUCUGGACAGUUCCUGACACUGAGACACGAAGGCCAGGGGAGCAAACGGG
rnacentral:rRNA from 1 species